rnacentral:misc_RNA from 1 species
AAGUCGUAACAAGGUUUCCGUAGGUGAACCUGCGGAAGGAUCAUUAACACAUUGUCCAUUUGAUGAUAGUGAUGUAAGAAUGUUUUGAGUUUUUGACUCAACUCUUUGUUCUUCAUCCUAUCAUUCAAACCUAAUAGCGAAUGAGUUGAAGUCCUCAUUAUUAAUUAACUUUAAUAAUUAGUGGAAUAAGACUAAAAAAUGUAAUCACGUUUUAAUGAAUUUCUUCGUUGAGAUUCAUUCGACUAAAUGUUUACAAAACAAACAAUAAUAUAACCAAGACAACUUGUAACAGUGGAUACCUUGGUUCCCAG